AUGAAGAGGAAGGUUGCUGAGCUUGCGGGGUGCAUAUUGAAGAUGAGGGAGGAUCAUAGGGUUUGCAUGCUAAGUCGAAAGAUUGAGGAUCUUCAAGGACAAAUAUAUGGGCUGGAGAAGAGGAACAAAGAGUAUUAUGAUCAGCUUGUGAAGCAUGAAGAAGAGAAGACACGUAGGUCUAAAUCAAUGAAGGUUAAAGGAGAAGCUAACAUGAAAUAUUGCUUUAAAGUUCCUGAAGACGUCGUUGCUGGUAUUA
rnacentral:misc_RNA from 1 species